rnacentral:rRNA from 1 species
GAUGAACGCUGGCGGCGUGCCUAAUACAUGCAAGUCGAGCGAACAGACGAGGAGCUUGCUCCUCUGACGUUAGCGGCGGACGGGUGAGUAACACGUGGAUAACCUACCUAUAAGACUGGGAUAACUUCGGGAAACCGGAGCUAAUACCGGAUAACAUGUUGAACCGCAUGGUUCAACAGUGAAAGACGGUUUUGCUGUCACUUAUAGAUGGAUCCGCGUCGCAUUAGCUAGUUGGUAAGGUAACGGCUUACCAAGGCAACGAUGCGUAGCCGACCUGAGAGGGUGAUCGGCCACACUGGAAUUGAGACACGGUCCAGACUCCUACGGGAGGCAGCAGUAGGGAAUCUUCCGCAAUGGGCGAAAGCCUGACGGAGCAACGCCGCGUGAGUGAAGAAGGUCUUCGGAUCGUAAAACUCUGUUAUUAGGGAAGAACAAAUGUGUAAGUAACUAUGCACGUCUUGACGGUACCUAAUCAGAAAGCCACGGCUAACUACGUG